AUGACUCCUCUGGGGCUCCCAAGGAGGGGGGUCUCCUUCCUCAGCAGCCAUGUGACUGAAGGCCCUGCAAGAGCAAUGCAUGGGACCUGGAAGAGGCCACAAGCUGAACCCCAGACGGAGCUGGUUCCAGGCAACGCAGAGCUGAAAAGCCGGCACAGGAGCCACUUCCCCAUGCUGAGGAGAAAUCUGCUUAAAUCAGACUGCAUCCAGGUCAGAGAACAUGGCAGGGACCAGGCCUCCGACCCCAACCACAUGGUGCUACAGAGCUAAGCGCUAGCCCGCCAACAACAAACCAACGAUUCUCUUUGCUUUUACGUCCUUCCUGGAAUGGCCAAAGUGGACAGAACUGACACGAGGCAAAAGACAGAAACUGUCUGUGGACCUCGAGUCCCUGAAGAAGGCUCUACAGUCCUUGACCAGCAAUGUCACGUUCAAGAAAACUGGAGGACAAAAAAGUAAAAAUAAUAAAAAUAAAUCAGCUACUCCUGAU